rnacentral:rRNA from 1 species
AAGGAAUUGACCGGGACCCGCACAAGCGGUGGAUGAUGUGGAUUAAUUCGAUGCAACGCGAAGAACCUUACCUGGUCUUGACAUGUACGGAAUCCUCCAGAGACGGAGGAGUGCCUUCGGGAGCCGUAACACAGGUGCUGCAUGGCUGUCGUCAGCUCGUGUCGUGAGAUGUUGGGUUAAGUCCCGCAACGAGCGCAACCCUUGUCAUUAGUUGCCAUCAUUUAGUUGGGCACUCUAAUGAGACUGCCGGUGACAAGCCAGAGGAAGGUGGGGAUGACGUCAAGUCCUCAUGGCCCUUAUGACCAGGGCUUCACACGUCAUACAAUGGUCGGUACAGAGGGUAGCCAAGCCGCGAGGUGGAGCCAAUCUCACAAAACCGAUCGUAGUCCGGAUUGCACUCUGCAACUCGAGUGCAUGAAGUCGGAAUCGCUAGUAAUCGCAGGUCAGCAUACUGCGGUGAAUACGUUCCCGGGUCUUGUACACACCGCCCGUCACACCAUGGGAGUGGGGGAUACCAGAAGUAGGUAGGGUAACCGCAAGGAGCCCGCUUACCACGGUAUGCUUCAUGACUGGGGUGAAGUCGUAACAAGGUAACCA